CCCCUCGACGACGACGAGCUCAUCUCCAACAUUGUGGCUGGACUCGACAUGGAGUACCAGCCGCUCGUCUCCGCCCUCGACGCUCGUGUGGAACUGGUCACCCUUGACGAAUUGUUUGCUUAGAUGAGGAACUUCGAUC
rfam:Hordeum vulgare subsp. vulgare, WGS project CAJW01000000 data, contig: morex_contig_138998